rnacentral:tRNA from 1 species
AGUCUUAUAGUUUAAUUAAAACCUUAAAUUGCAAAUUUAAUAAAGAAUUCAUUUCUAAGACUU